UACGGAGGGGACUAGCGUUGUUCGGAAUUACUGGGCGUAAAGCGCACGUAGGCGGAUUUGUAAGUCAGGGGUGAAAUCCCGGGGCUCAACCUCGGAACUGCCUUUGAUACUGCAAAUCUCGAGUCCGGAAGAGGUGAGUGGAAUUCCUAGUGUAGAGGUGAAAUUCGUAGAUAUUAUGAAGAACACCAGUGGCGAAGGCGGCUCACUGGUCCGGUACUGACGCUGAGGUGCGAAAGCGUGGGGAGCAAACAGG
rnacentral:rRNA from 1 species